UACAGAGGUCCCAAGCGUUGUUCGGAUUCACUGGGCGUAAAGGGUGCGUAGGUGGCGAGGUAAGUCGGAUGUGAAAGCUCGGAGCUCAACUCCGAAAUGGCAUUGGAAACUACCUUGCUCGAGGGUUGGAGGGGGGACUGGAAUGCUUGGUGUAGCAGUGAAAUGCGUAGAUAUCAAGCGGAACACCAGUGGCGAAGGCGAGUCCCUGGACAACUCCUGACACUGAGGCACGAAAGCUAGGGGGAGCAAACAGG
rnacentral:rRNA from 1 species